rnacentral:antisense_RNA from 1 species
AAGCAGGCAGGGACGGAGAGGGGUGAUGGCGCGCCCACCCCUGCAGAGCCGCCUGCGCGGUUGUCCCGCGCGUCCCUGCCGGCGAAGGCUGUGAGAAGCACCGCGGGGCUACGGCGCCUCCAUCCUCUCUAACAGCCGCGCUUACCAGACAGCCAGCCUCCAGUGCUGCUAGGCUACUCCGAGCAGGGGAGAAAAGACACCGGUCCGCCGGGGACCAGGAGGGAGACGUGAAACCAGAGGCCCGGGGGCCCCCUCUCCGCCUGUGCGACUUGUAGUCUCGUACCAGACGCGUCCGCUUCGCUGCUGAAUCUGAAAACGUGGGCUCUUGAGAGCUGCCCUUGGAAGGAGCUGUGCUUUCUGCCUCAUCUUUAACUUUUCGUUUAUUCAGCAAAUAUGUAUCAAGUUCCGACUUCGUGGAAGAGAUUGUGUUAGACACUGGGAAUAAUAGAAACAUAAUUAAGAAGCAGGGGUCCCGGACCUGAAGGGCCUGAGCGUCGGGUUCUUUCAAACUGGGAAAGCUCAUUAAAAGAAAAAUGUGAAAAUCUAUUGGCUGGAUCCUGAACCCUUGGAAGCUCUGUCUGGAUACAUUCUUCUCUGGCAGGAUGCUCUAUGUGGCUCUUUCCAUGUGUAGUUUCCAAUGAAACAGGAAGGACUCUAAUUGAAUGCCUGCCCACAUCUCUACAGCUCCACACCUUCCACUAAGGGCACAAUAAGACCUCCACUGUGAGAGGCUCCACAGUGUACUACGUUGGUGAUGGCAUAUUCUGAGGGGCUGAUCUGCAGAAAAGGCCAAGUGAAAAGUCACCCAAUAAUGAGAAAGGAGGAAGAUGGCAUGUAGAAUGCAUGAAUAGGAAAUUAUAUUGAGAAAUCCAGAUGUGCAGUUGUGCAAGAGCAAGCUGGUGUGGAUUUUUGAAUGGAUAUUCUGAAGACAACUAGGUGCCGGAUGCCAUGUUGUCAGCUGCCCUAUGGAGAGACCCAUGUGGGCAAGGAACUCUGGCCAACAGAUGGUCUGGGUGGUCUCUGGUCCACAGCCAGGGAAGAGCUGAGCACCUCUGACCAGAGGCUUAUGAGAAACUGAAUCCUGCCAGCAAGACACCAACCAAUCCAAAAGUAUCAGCCAUCUCCCUAUGCAGGGUGCCAGAGGACCAGGUUCUAGCCCAUUCAUUGCUGGAUUGCGGAGGACUCCAGGUGGUCUGGGAAAAGGAGUGGAGCAACAUGCAGCAUGUCCCAGCAAAGCUUCGCAAAGAUGUCAGUAUUAAUUGUCACCAUCCUCCAGGGAGAAAGCAACAGCCCACAAUUGCCUGCAUUUUCUUUCCUCUUCAAAACCACUUCUGCUCCAAAGACCAUGAACCUGAACUGAAGAAACGACUCCUUCCUGCUGGCGUGAGAUAAUUCAGUCUCCAUGAUGUCUUAAUCCUGGGCCUCCCUUAAUUGACUUCUAACUGUGCUGAACUGUGGCUGCUAGGAGUUGCAAUGUGGAUCGCAAUUUACAAGGCACUGGAAUCGUUUCUUGUCUUCAAAUUAGUCCUGAGCUGUACUGGAGAAAGAAAAAAAGGGGCCUUUACCCUUCUCGCUGUCUUGUCACCACAAGUGAGACUUUCUUACCAUCUCAGAAUGGAUGGUUGCCUUUUAACAAUUUAGUUAGGGACAGAAAGGAAAAAGAGUUAGGGGUGCCAAUACUUCGUCAAUUUUGUCUUAAUAAAGUUGCCUCACAUGGCC